CUAUUAUAAAACGCUUUCAUUUUAUAUUUGUGUAUGAUGUAUUUUGAGAUAUAUAAACACAUACUUCCAUUGUAUAGAUGACAAUAUAUAUAGUAGAUUUAGCUACAGUGCACUCAUAUAUGCCUGCCAAAUUACUACAGUUUAUAAUCGGCUGCGCAACUGAUCCGUAGCGACAUAAAAUAAUGGUAUUACAGUAUAUACCAGUGAUUUAAAUUCCUUAAGAUACGCAGAUUUUCC